UUCUACCUAAAUAUUAUUUAAUAAUUCCCAAACCACCCUUAUUACCCCUAGAUUAUAGCCAUUGACCAAGUUGCCCCAUUGUGGCCUCUUCCCCCAACAAACCCACGUCACAUUCUCACUCUUAUCUCCUCUCUCUCUAUCUAUCUCCUCUUUCUCUCACACACACAAACACACACACACACAAAUUACACACACAAAUCCAACCGUUAUAGACCCAGCCCCGACCUCCAGCCCCUGCCGCCGCUGACGAAGCAGCCUCCCCACCACCGCCGAUCAUAAAUUGCGAUGGGUCUGCUACCGUCAAGAAAUCUCUGCCCCUCAAAAACCCCUCUUUCUUUCUCUCUCUACUGUUUUUGAGCACGUGUUUUCCAUGGAGUCGAGCUGUAUGCUCUGUUGUAAGUAGCAUAAGCUUCAAUUAAGAGGUUUAAAAAAAUCGAAGCAGAUGGAAAUAAUCGAAUCCAUCGAUAAUCUGCAAGUGCAGGAUCCGCCCGGUGAAGAUUUCUCUUCAGCCGAUUUGGAGUGGGUCAAGUUUGGAACCGCCGAGCGAUGUGAUGAUGUGGCGCUUAUUCCUUACGAUCGAGUUGAUGCCUUUAUAAUAGGAGAGUGUUCCUGUGUCGAGUGCCCGACUAGGUUCCACAUCGAGAGGGGAAGAAAACGAGCCAGGGGAAGCUUGAAGCAGUGCAAAAACGACGGCGUAUGUGUGCGUGGAUGGUGAUGGUAAUGAUGGUUGUGGCGGCGGUUUUGAGUGGAGGAUUGCGAUGGGUCUGUUGGUGGCGGCGGUUUUGGGUGGAGGAUUGCGAUUGGUCUUCUGGCGGCGGCGGUUUUGGGUGGAAGAUUGCGAUGGGUCUGCUGGCGGUGGCGUAUGUGUGUGUGGUAGUGAUGGUUAUGGCGGCGUUUUUUGGAUGUUGGGUUGGUGGGAGCGUGGCAGAAGAGCAUUAAGGCUUAAUCGACUAUGUUCAGUAGUCGAUUAAGGUUAACCGACUCUAGUUGUUAUUUUGUUUUUUUUUUUUUUUGUUUAUUG